AUUGAACGCUGGCGGCAGGCCUAACACAUGCAAGUCGAACGAGUGGCGGACGGGUGAGUAAUGUCUGGGAAACUGCCUGAUGGAGGGGGAUAACUACUGGAAAUGUUAGCUAAUACCGCAUACCAUCAGAUGUGCCCAGCUGGGAUUAGCUUGUUGGUGGGGUAACGGCUCACCAAGGCGACGAUCCCUAGCUGGUCUGAGAGGAUGACCACCCACACUGGAACUGAGACACGGUCCAUACUCCUACGGGAGGCAGCAGUGGGGAAUAGUGCGCAAUGGGCGCAAUCCUGAGGCAGCCAUGCCGCGUGUAUGAAGAAGGCCUUCGGGUUGUAAAGUUCUUUCAGUGGGGAUGCGUUACCCACAGAAGAAGCACCGGCUAACUCCGUGCCAGCAGCCGCGGUAAUUC
rnacentral:rRNA from 1 species